CCUACGGGUGGUAGCAGUGAGGAAUAUUGGUCAAUGGACGAGAGUCUGAACCAGCCAAGUAGCGUGAAGGAUGACUGCCCUAUGGGUUGUAAACUUCUUUUAUAAAGGAAUAAAACGAGGCACGUGUGCCUUUUUGUAUGUACUUUAUGAAUAAGGAUCGGCUAACUCCGUGCCAGCAGCCGCGGUAAUACGGAGGAUCCGAGCGUUAUCCGGAUUUAUUGGGUUUAAAGGUAGCGUAGAUGGGUUGUUAAGUCAGUUGUGAAAGUUUGCGGCUCAACCGUAAAAUUGCAAUUGAUACUGGCAGUCUUGAGUACAGUUGAGGUAGGCGGAAUUCGUGGUGUAGCGGUGAAAUGCUUAGAUAUCACGAAGAACCCCGAUUGCGAAGGCAGCUUACUAAACUGUGACUGACAUUGAUGCUCGAAAGUGUGGGUAUCAAACAGGAUUAGAUACCCUGGUAGUC
rnacentral:rRNA from 1 species